AUUGAACGCUGGCGGCAUGCCUUACACAUGCAAGUCGAACGGUAACAGGUCUUCGGAUGCUGACGAGUGGCGAACGGGUGAGUAAUACAUCGGAACGUGCCUAGUAGUGGGGGAUAACUACUCGAAAGAGUGGCUAAUACCGCACGAGAUCUACGGAUGAAAGCAGGGGAUCGCAAGACCUUGUGCUACUAGAGCGGCCGAUGGCAGAUUAGGUAGUUGGUGGGAUAAAAGCUUACCAAGCCGACGAUCUGUAGCUGGUCUGAGAGGACGAUCAGCCACACUGGGACUGAGACACGGCCCAGACUCCUACGGGAGGCAGCAGUGGGGAAUUUUGGACAAUGGGCGCAGGCCUGAUCCAGCAAUGCCGCGUGCAGGAUGAAGGCCUUCGGGUUGUAAACUGCUUUUGUACGGAACGAAAAGUCCCGGGUUAAUACCCUGGGGUCAUGACGGUACCGUAAGAAUAAGCACCGGCUAACUACGUGCCAGCCGCCGCCGUAA
rnacentral:rRNA from 1 species